UUGGUCUGGCAACAUUCAACGUAAACAAGCAGGCAACUCUUAUGUACUGGUAACUUCCAAAAUAAAGGAACCUCAAGUGUUUUAUAGGGCCACAGAUUCUACAAGAGUGGACCUGGUGACAGACACGCACACCCGCUGAGACCCCUCUUUCAAAAUCACUGGGUAUUUAAAUUGCCUAAUUAACUCAAACCUGAGGCGUAUACUACGUGCCUGGUUUGAGGAAACUUUCAACUCGGGAUAACCAGAAGUGGCUCAUCUUUUAGCCAGGUACUUUAUGCUGCAAUGAAUGACUCAAUUAACUCCACUAAUACUUAAGUGUCUGAGCCUCAAGUUUAGGACCAAUGAAAUAGAUUCUCUCCCUCUCAAACAUUGCAUCAUCACCUUUAUAUUUCAUGAAUGCCAGGCUUCCCCAAAUAUUUCCCAAAAAUAUAAAAUCAUUUAUUUCAUGUGUUUUUAUAAUUUGAUGCAAGCAUUUCGCCUCCCUUGAUAAAUGUUUGUUAUAAAAGGAUUAGCGCAACUGUGGGUUGUCUUGGUGCAGCAAAACAGGAUGCACCUGAGCUCAAUUUUGAGUCUCACAGCAAAGGAUCUGAAUACUUAUGUAAUUAAUACAUUAUGGGGUAUUGGGUGUAGAUUUGAAUAAGCCUGUAACGAGAUGUGGAUAAAGUGAAGGGGUCUUAAUUAUUUCCGAAUGCACUGUAUCACGGUGGCGUAUUGAAAAAAAAAAAAGUAUUUACCUAGGCAAGUCAGUUAAGAACAAAUUCUUAUUUUCAAUGACGGCCUAGGAACAGUGCCUGUUCAGGGGCAGAACGACAGAUUUGUACCUUGUCUGCUCGGGGGUUUGAACUUGCAACCUUCCAGUUACUAGUCCAACGCUCUAAUCACUAGGUUAAAAGCAAACACAAUUACCACAACAGGUUGUAAUAUGGCUUUUUCCCCCCCUGGCUUGGCUUCCUCAGUGAAUUUACCCACGCACGCUACUGCACGGCUAACACGGAACCCAAACCGGAUGCGCGCCUGCGCCAUCGUGCAUAACUGUAUUUUGUCCCCCCACACCAAACGCGAUCACGACACACAGGUUAAAAUAUCAAAACACUCAACCAAUUACAUAAAAUUUGGGGACAGGUCGAAAGCAUUAAACAUUUAUGGCAAUUUAGCUUGCUAAUUUGUCCUGGGCUAUAAACAUUGAGUUGUGCAUUUCAGGUAAAAUAACAAGGGCCACUCCUCUGACAAUUAAUCCACAGAAAACGGUCAACUGAAUCGUUUCUAGUCAUCUCUCCUCCUAGGCUUUUUUUGACUUUAUAUUGCGAUUGGCAACGUUCAUAAAUUAGAUGCAUUAACGCCACUGACCUCGUUCGUCAAUCAGUCACGUGGGUAUAACCAAUGAGAUGGUACUGGGUACCUGCUUCUAUAAACCAAUUAGGAGAUGGGAGAGGCAGGACUUGCAGCGCUAUCUGCGUCACAAAUAGAACUGACUUCUAUUUUAGCCCAUGGCAACGCAGAUGCUCGUGAGCAGUGUGGGUGCAAUAAUUGAGUAAUAUAAAUUUCUACAUUUAUUUUGCAACGCAAGCAUUGUAGUCAGCCUGUGAGCUGGAAUGUGAAGCAAACUGAAGCUAGCUGCCCCCCUUUCAAUAUACGUUGAAUCGCUCAGUUACUUAA
ensembl:lncRNA